UUAGGUUAAGUUAUGAAGGGCGCAUGGUGAAUGCCUUGGUACUAGGAGCCGAUGAAGGACGGGACUAACACCGAUAUGCUUCGGGGAGCGGUAAGUACGCUUUGAUCCGGAGAUUUCCGAAUGGGGAAACCCAAUCAGCUUAGUCGCUGAUUACUUGACUAGUGAAUACAUAGCUAGCAAGAGGUAGACGCAGUGAACUGAAACAUCUUAGUAGCUGCAGGAAGAGAAAGAAACAUCGAUUCCCUGAGUAGCGGCGAGCGAAAAGGGAAGAGCCCAAACCAACAAGCUUGCUUGUUGGGGUUGUAGGACUGAACAUUAGAGUUACCAAAGUGCGACGUAGUCGCAACAGUUGGGAAGCUGUGCCAUAGAGGGUGAAAGCCCCGUAGACGAAACGUCACACUCUCUGUUCAGGAUCCUGAGUACGGCGGGACACGUGAAACCCCGUCGGAACCCGCGAGGACCAUCUCGCAAGGCUAAAUACUCCCUAGUGACCGAUAGUGAACCAGUACCGUGAGGGAAAGGUGAAAAGCACCCCGGAAGGGGAGUGAAAUAGUUCCUGAAACCAUGUGCUUACAAGCUGUCGGAGCCCGUUAAUGGGUGACGGCGUGCCUCUUGCAGAAUGAACCGGCGAGUUACGAUUGCAUGCAAGGUUAAGGUGGAAAAACCGGAGCCGUAGCGAAAGCGAGUCUUAAAUGGGCGUAAGAAGUAUGUAGUUGUAGACCCGAAAUCAGGUGACCUACCCAUGUCCAGGUUGAAGG
rnacentral:rRNA from 1 species